rnacentral:rRNA from 1 species
GACAGAGGCCUCAAGCGUUAGGCGGAAUUACUGGGCGUAAAGCGUGCGUAGGCGGUUUGUUAAGUCCGCUGUGAAAGCCCUGGGCUCAACCUGGGAAUUGCAGUGGAUACUGGCAAGCUAGAGUGCGGUAGAGGAUGGUGGAAUUCCCGGUGUAGCGGUGAAAUGCGUAGAGAUCCGGAAGAACACCGGUGGCGAAGGCGGUCUGCUGGGGUAAUGCUGACACUGAUGCGCGACAGCGUGGGGAGCAAACAGG